UACGAAGGGGGCUAGCGUUGUUCGGAAUCACUGGGCGUAAAGCGCACGUAGGCGGAUUGUUAAGUCGGGGGUGAAAUCCUGAGGCUCAACCUCAGAACUGCCUUCGAUACGGGCAAUCUCGAGUCCGGAAGAGGUUGGUGGAACAGCUAGUGUAGAGGUGAAAUUCGUAGAUAUUAGCUAGAACACCAGUGGCGAAGGCGGCCAACUGGUCCGGUACUGACGCUGAGGUGCGAAAGCGUGGGGAGCAAACAGG
rnacentral:rRNA from 1 species